ensembl:lncRNA
GGAGCAAGGAGGGACAUCUUGAGUGUGCACUGAACCAGAAAUAUUUGGUUGACUUCAACAAGAAAGAUAAAGACCAGCAACGUCCAGACCCAGCACCAUCUGGUCUCAGAAAGUGCAAGAGAGCUGGAAUUGGACACACAGCAGUAAGAGAGCUUCCUGAAGAAUAAGUUGCUUUCUCAGGAGUCCCUGAUGACAAACAUCCUGAACGGUAACAACAUUUUUUGGAUGAGUAUUCUUCCUCAGAGUUAAUUUGUCAUUUCUUAGAGACCCUAAAUUUAUAUAACACUAAGCCAGCCUGACUGAUUGAGGUCUUACUCACUUUCUUCUUCAGAAAACACCACUUGAGAGACAACUUGGGGGACCACCUUUCAUUAUGUGUGCUAGAGGAGAAACAGCAAUACAUCUGUGCUUCUAAAUGUUCGUUAAGAAUAUGCUGUUUAGAAAUAUUUUUGUUAUGAUUUUAAUUGAAGUUUUCUUUUUGUUGUUUCAUAUUAAUAUGUUCUUGUUACUGUUUUUCACUUUC